GCCGGGAUGGUGGAAUUGGUAGACGCGACGGACUCAAAAUUCGUUGGGAGCAAUCUCGUGAGAGUUCAAGUCUCUCUCCCGGUACCA
rnacentral:tRNA from 1 species